rnacentral:lncRNA from 1 species
GGGAUGAAGUAAUCUUCACCGGUUGCUGCAAGGUACUUUCUCUGCUCCACUUGGGUUCCUAAACCAAGGUGCAAACAUAUUUGAACCUUUGAAACAUUUGAAGUAUUAGAGUAAUCAUGUUUAAGUUUGAAUUCCAUAUAGGGAGAUGGUUACAACGUUGGUUUCGGAACCUGUGCCGGUAAGGUUCUUCCGUCACACGACUGAGGAAACCGUUGUUCGAUGGGGAUAUAAGAGGGAGUACAUGCCACUCACGUUGCCAUUGUUGGUGUUGAAGAAAUCUCACUGGAAAUCCUCAGAGCUGAAAAUGGUGUGUUUGCUGUAUUAUUUAUUGAUUACAAUGUUUAACUUAGUUGUAGCAGUUGAUGGUAUGCUGGAAUUGCUUGAUACUCUCUUCCUCUAAAUCAUGCCCCCUUCUUACCUAUAUUCACAUAGAAGGAAACCAUGGCUGAUUUCAAAUUAAUAUUUAAAUUAAAUUAAUCGAAUUGAAUUAUUAACGCUAACCCCAAUAAAGGUGGUCCGUUCGUCAGAAAGCAAAGUCUGGGUGCCUUUGUUAAACGGGCGAUACUCGGCUCGCUGAUGACGCCACAUAUGCGUAUUAAGACCGUUCAAGAAAACAUAACCGUAACUGACAGCACACGAUAAAGGCUUCC